GCCACGGGCUACUCUGCAAGUGAUGUCACUUAAGUAUGGCGACAGCCACUUGUGAUUUGUUAAUGGCAUUGAUCGCGUGUUGCGUGUACGAUAAUGAGUUUAUCGAGAGAGAUUGUACGUACGCUUGUGGACAGUGCAUGAAGUACAGCGAAAUGUGAAAAAAUCAAAGAUUACAUGUGCAAGACGAGCACGUUGUUACAACCUAUAAACAAGUGUUUUAUUCCAGUCAUCAGACGGUAAACUUUUCCUGCCCGGCGGAUCUGUGAUUACAAUACUGUGCAUUCCGGGGAAACCAGUGCCUUCAGUUUCCUCAGCAUUACAGGGUUGUGGAAGGUGUGACUUUACUGAGGAUUUUGGAUGAUGUGAAAGACUCCAUCCGUACUGAAAAGUCACCUUCAAGGGAUUUCAUCAUCAGUGACAGUCAGCACCUGACAAUGAAGUGUUGACUAUGUGUGUGGCCUCUGAUCACACAUACUGUAAGACUGAACUUGAUCUGCUCUUUACUCACAUAAUGGUUUAUAGGACCUUUGGGGAAAGUUUCCAUAUAAAAAUGAGUAACGCAUAAAGUUUUUAUGGUGAUAUGGAAAUUCAACUGUUGUUAAUAAAGAAAGCAAAUGACUUGCAUUCCUUGUGUCUGUUCAUACCUUUAUCCUAGUAUACAGGGUAUUACAAAAAGGUAAACAUUCCUCACACACAAAUAAAGAAAAGAUGUCAUGUGGACAUGUGUCCGGAAACGCUUAAUUUCCAUAUUAGAGCUCAUUUUAGUUUCAUCAAUAUGUACUGUACUUCCUCGAUUCACCGCCACUUGGCCCAAUUGAAGGAAGGUAAUGUUAACUUCGGUGCUUGUGCUGACAUGUGACUCAGUGUUAUACAGUACUAGCAUCAAGCACAUCAGUACGUAGCAUCAACAGGUUAGUGUUCAUCACGAACGUGGUUUUGCAGUCAGUGCAAUGUUUACAAAUGAGGAGUUGGCAGAUGCCCAUUUGAUGUAUGGACUAGCACGGGGCAAUAGCCAUGGCGAGGUACAUUUGUAUCGAGACAGAUUUCCAGAACGAAGGUGUCCCGACACGAAGACGUUCAAAGCAAUUGGUCGGUAUCUUAGGGAGAACGGAACAUUCCAGCCUAUUACUCACGACUGGGGAAGACCUAGAACGACGAGGACACCUGCAAUGGACGAGGCAAUUCUUCGUGCAGUUGACGAUAACCCUAAUGUCAGCGUCAAAGAAGUUGCUACUGUACAAGAUAACGUUGAUCACAUCACUGUAUGGAGAGUGCUACGGGAGAACCAGUUGUUUCCGUACCAUGUACAGCGUCUGCAGGCACUUUCAGCAGCUGAUUGGCCUCCACGGGUACACUUCUGCGAAUGGUUCAUCCAACAAUGUGUCAAUCCUCAUUUCAGUGCAGAUGUUCUCUUUACGGACGAGGCUUCAUUCCAACGUGAUCAAAUUGUAAAUUUUCACAAUCAACAUGUGUGGGCUGACGAGAAUCCGCAUGCAAUUGUGCAAUCCCGUCUUCAACACAGAUUUUCUAUGAACGUUUGGGCAGACAUUGUUAGUGAUGUCUUGAUUGGGCCCCAUGUUCUUCCACCUACGCUCAAUGGAGCACGUUAUCAUGAUUUCAUAUGGGAUACUCUACCUGUGCUGCUAGAACAUGUGCCUUUACAAGUACGACACAUGUGGUUCAUGCACGAUGGAGCUCCUGCACAUUUCAGUUGAAGUGUUCGUACGCUUCUCAACAACAGAUUUGGUGACCAAUGGAUUGGUAGAGGCGGACCAAUUCCAUGGCCUCCACACUCUCUUGCCCUCAACCCUUAUGACUUACAUGUAUGGGAGCAUUUGAAAGCUCUUGUCUACGCAACCCCGGUACCAAAUGCAGAUACUCUUCGUGCUCGUAUUGUGGACGGCUGUGAUACAAUACGCCAUUCUCCAGGGCUGCAUCAGCGCAUCAGGGAUUCCAUGUGACGGGGGGUGGAUGCAUGUAUUCUCGCUAACGGAGGACAUUUUGAACAUUUCCUGUAACAAAGUGUUUGAAGUCACGCUGGUACGUUCCGUUGCUGUGUGUUUCCAUUCCAUGAUUAAUGUGAUUUGAAGAGAAGUAAUAAAAUGAGCUCUAACAUGGAAAGUAAGCAUUUCCGGACACAUGUCCACAUAACAUAUUUUCUUUCUUUGUGUGUGAGGAAUGUUUCCUGAAAGUUUGGCCAUACCUUUUUGCAACACCCUAUAUAAAGCUAACAAACUUUAACUGAAGUAUGCCAUUGCUACUUUUCAUAAUUAAAAGUAUCAGUAUCCACUGAAGUCCUGUGUAAAAGUGAAUGCGUAAACACAGUAGUGCAGUAUUGUUAGUUUUCUGAAGACCUUCACACUGUACUGCAGUGGAAUUUUUGCAUGUGUAUUACUCAGUUGUGGCAAAAAUGCACUAAAUAAAAAAUAGCAAAAUGUUGAACUGGAA